rnacentral:rRNA from 1 species
UACGGGGGGGGCAAGCGUUGUUCGGAAUUACUGGGCGUAAAGGGCUCGUAGGUGGCCAACUAAGUCAGACGUGAAAUCCCUCGGCUUAACCGGGGAACUGCGUCUGAUACUGGAUGGCUUGAGUUCGGGAGAGGGAUGCGGAAUUCCAGGUGUAGCGGUGAAAUGCGUAGAUAUCAAGAGGAACACCUGCGGCGAAGGCGGGUUGCUGGGCCGACACUGACGCUGAUGCGCGAAAGCUAGGGGAGCGAACGGG